CCGACCCUGAACAAUAAGCAAAAUCAAGUUGAGAAAGGAAACAUACGUGGUAACUGCCAAAACAGUUGCGAGAACCAGCUAUGCAACCGUACCCCGGGAACUUGGUUCCAAAAUGGUCGACUAGAUAAGUCCAACUGUCCAUCGUUUGAGUGACAUCAGUCAUUGCUAAACUUGCCCAAGGGUUGUCCCUUCGAAUCCAUCGGCGCACGUGCAGAUGAAGAAGCUCGUUUGGAUAAGCUGGCGCUUCAGGGGUGGAUCCAGGAAUUUUCGGGAGGGAUCAGACCGAAGAUUUGUACGGGUAUG